UAUCAAAGGAGGAUAAAGAGUUUUAUGAGUUAAAGAACAGAGCAGCGGAGUUUUACAGAGCAAACGGCGUGCCGCAGAAGCUUGAAACGGUUUUAAAUGAGAUGUUUUGUGCAAAGCCGGAUGAUGUUUAUGGAUAUCUGUACAGAUCCAGAAAAUACUCAGUGUGUCACCAAAUUAUUUUUAAUGGAUUGGUUUUAUCUAGUUACAGUUGCAAGAAAACGCUUGUGAACUGUCUUAAAUGAAAUGAUUGGGGGGACCCCCAACCCGAACUUUUCCUGUAGGAAAAGCUGAUCAGACUUGCACUGCUGCAAGGAAGAAUUUUAGACCAUACCUCCUCCAUACAAAUCUCUUCCAGUACAUCCAUCCAUCCAUUUUCCAUACCGGUUUAUCCUUUUCAGGGUCACGGGGAACCUGGAGCCUAUCCCAGGGAGCAUCAGGCACAAGGCGGGGUACACCCUGGACAGGGUGCCAGUCCAUCGCAGGGCACACUCACACACACACUCACACACCCAUUCAUACACUACGGACACUUUAGAUGCAUGUCAAAGACACUACCGUGCAUGUCUUUGGACUGGGGGAGGAAACCGGAGUACCCGGAGGAAACCCCCAUAGCACGGGGAGAACAUGCAAACUCCACACACACAGAGCAACGGUGGGAAUCAAAACCCCGACCCUGGAGGUGUGAGGCGAACGUGCUAACCACUAAGCCACCGUGCGCCCUCAGGGCACCAUCACACAAUUUGGAAAUGCCAAUCAGCCUACAAUGCAUGUCUUUGGACUGGGGGAGGAAACCGGAGUACCCGGAGGUAACCCCUGUAACAUGGGGAGAACAUGCAAACUCCGUGCACAUAGGGCGGAGGUGGGAUUCGAACCCCCUACCCCGGAGGUGUGAGGCGAAUGCAAACUACUUCUCCAGCUUCUCUCACACACCUGUGAUUAGUGCAGUAGUGGGCAGAGAGGUGUAUGAUGGCAGGGGGGAAGCAGCAUUGCAGGUGGAUGUUUACUGCGUCGUCAGGAAUGAAGAGAAGUUAGUCAGUAAUGCAGUGGUUACUAGUAUGGAAAGUGAUGUCAUGGAGAUAUGGAAUGUGGCUCCCAACGGUAACCAUCCUCAAGCAUCCGUAUCGGUGGCACUGGAGUGGAUCAGAGAUCAGCUGAGCUCCAUGUUGCAUGGCUUUAACCCCACCCACCAAACAUACCUGGACAAAUUGCUCAGUGAUUACUACAUGGCCCGUUACCUUGAGGACCAAGAGAGUCAUAACAUAGAAAAGCAAGGCGAGGAAGAAGAGAAGUCUGAAACAACAACUGACACUGCAACCGCUUGUGCACCUGCUUCAAGCAAAGACAUGAAGAAAGGAGAUAAAGGUAAGAAAGGCAGUGCCACAGAGAAGCCGCUGCCUCCUCCUGAGAAACCGGAACCUAUGUUGCCAGGGGCGAUGGUAGUUGGUGCUCUGUCAAUGGCAGCAGCCAAAUCUGCAGCGAGCCUCGCAGCCAUACCGCUCUAUAAACACAUCCUCACUCUCAGAGACCUACAGGCUCUAAGAGUGUUCAUGCCCAUGCCGCUGGUAUCAGUCUUAAGUUGUGGAAAAGCGUCAACUGGAAAGCUCAACCUGCUAGAGGAGGUCAUCCUGCUGCCCACUGUACCAUACAGAACCAGAGAGUGUGUUACACUGAAAGCUGAAAGCACUGCAAUCCAGAGAAAUAAAAUCAUUGACAUGUGCCGUGACGUUCAGAGAGAGAUAAGGAGAAUAGCCGUUACUACAGCGGGGAAAUCAGGGCCUGCAUUAGAAGGUGUUUCAGAAGGUGGCGCUAUUCAGCUUGGGCUCGAACGCGCAGAACAAGCGCUCGAUCUGUUGACGGAGGCGUGCUCAAACCUGGGCCUGCCGAUGGGCACAGAGCUCCGGCUGGUGAUAAACUGCGCUGCUCAUAGACUCGUCGACUAUUCCAGAGGAAAAUACGAGGUGAUGGCGGGGACUAUGAAGUCUCCGGAUGAGCUGGUGGACAUGUUUGUGGGAUUGAUUAAUAAAUAUCCAGCCAUCGGGGCCCUUAUCGACCCGUUCAGGAAAGAGGAUGUGGAACAGUGGCAGCAGCUGAACUCUCUUAUUGGACAGUCUUGCUGCCUAAUUGCAGAUGCAGCAUACAGGCCCUGCCCUCGCUGGAAGGAGGCAAAGCCCCUCCCCCCAGGGGUCACGUGGAUCACUCUUAGGCACAGAAGUGACAUGACCCUCACUGACCUCCUCCAUGCCGUCACAGAGCGAACAGCAUAAAGAACUCUCAUGGCCACUGUACUGAGAGAGACAGUGAGAGAAAGAGACACUGAAAGAAAGAGAAGACACUUUAAUAGACAUUAGCUCAUUGAAAAGCUUAUGAAGGACAUCAGAGAGAGAGAGAGAGCUGUUGAAUGCAUUAUGCAAACAGAGACCUUCAUAUUAAUGUGUCACACAAAGGAAAUGCACGUGUAUUUGGCUACAGCUACAAUAUACUUAUUGUACAAAAUAAACUCGGUACCUCAACGAGGGAGAAACAGACCAGGGUUCAAUUCAAUCUGACUGAAUAUCCGAAAACUUACCUUGAGAGUCUGAUUGAGUUAUGAACUAGCAGUAAACGUUGACUGAACAGUUGAUGAUAAUCAUCUGAUUUGUCUCUGGAAUAUUAGCAAAACCAUCAAAACAGAAUUUUGCAAUAAAAGGCUAAACAAAAAUGAUGAACAAUUGUACUUCAGUAGAAAGUAAAGUGGGCUGGGCUAAUUUUGGUUACUUAUUAAUGGUUACUUAUACCGAUUGACCAUAAAAGCACUGACAGGUGAAGUGAAUAAUAUUGAUUAUCUCAUUACAUUGGCACCUGUCAAGGGGUGGGAUAUGUUAGGCAGCAGGUGAACAGUCACACGGCUGGGUCAGAGCAUCUCCAUAACGGCCGGUCUUGUAGGGUGUUCCCGGUAUACAGUGGUUAGUACCUACUAAAAGUGGUCCAACGAAGGACAACCGGUGAAACGGCGACAGGGUCAUGGGUGCCAAAGGCUCCCACAGUGCAUUGCAGCUUGCUGCGUAUAGGGAUACGUAGCUGCAGACCGGCCAGAGUAUCCAUGCUGACCCGUCUACUGCUGAAAGCACCUACAAUGGGCACGUAAGCAUCCGAACUGGACCAUGGAGCAAUGGAAGAAGGUGGGCUGAUCUGAUGGUGGAGGCCUCACAACUUAGAGGACUUAAAAUGACCUGCUGCUGCCAGAUACCACAGCACACCUUCAGAUGUCUUGUUGAGUCCAUGCCUUGACGGAAGGGGAGACCAUUCUAGCAGUGAGCAAUGAGGAGAUUGGUGAUGACUCCACGAUAGAUGUGGCUGUAGGCACGGGUGUAUCAUUCAUUAAGCUGGGUGGGCCGACUGGAGGGUGGAGGAUGAACAAGUAC